AGUGAAGUUGACAACGCGACGCGACGUCAUCCGCCGCCUACAGAACGCCACGGAGACGCAGCGCAGCGAAGUGCUGAAUCGUGUUUAAUCGAGAACUGCGUACGGCCUGCGCAAUUGGUGCGUUUCGGCAAUAAGCGCGCGCGUGUGAGAUCGCGUGUAAGGCAGCGUUGCGAAGGAGGGAAGGAACAGCAGAGGCUUCGUCGGCGUCGGUCGGUGCCGGGCAGCGCGACUGCGGAGAGCGCGCGCGAGGAGCAGCAGAGGCUUGGUUGGCGUCGGCCGCUGCUAGGAUUGCUGGCCAGCUCGACUGCGGAGAGCGUCCUGUUUAGGAUGAAAUAUCAUUCAUGGAUGGCGAGAUUCCAUGCGCUUUCGCGAAUAACGUUCACCGGAUUGUUCGAAGACGACAACGAAGACGACGACGACGAUGACAGCGAGGAGGGGAGCUGGUAAGUUUUACGGACAAAGACGUGGAAAGAGGAUCGAGCGGGCAGGAGAGCGGCAACGACUAUCCUCUGACCAGGGAAGUCUACGCGCCGCACUCCAUUAGUAUGCGCGGAAGUGCGCCGCGCUCGAUUGUGACGGGUAUUGUCACCGAAGAAUGUCCUCGUUGCGCGGAGCUCCGCGGCUCCGGACGGUUUCCUCGGUAAGGAGACGAAAGCGGGAAUUCGAGUGAAAUGUAAUCACUCUCCGAGAGUGAGCGUCGGGGAGAAAUCUCGACUGCACGGUUCAUCCGCUGCGGCGAAAAGGACUGGCGACGGCGCUAGAUGCCGAUAGACGCGGGGAGAGAGGGGGGGCUGUCUUAGGGGCAGCAUUGUCUUCUUGAUUUCAGAGAAUCCAGACUUCCGUGUCGUCAUUGCGUCGCCAGCAAUUGAAUUUUACGUCAACGUACGCCGCGAGUACCUGACGCGUAUCCGGCGCACGCGAGAAACUUAUUUCAUUUAGCCGGCAUUAGCUCGCGAAGAGGGAGAGG